CCUACGGACUGUCGUACUAACGAAAGUAGCUCGAAUUUUAGUGAACUCAGGCAGGUUGAACUAGGAA
rnacentral:sRNA from 12 species